GAAAUAGGGGGCAAGCGUUGUUCGGAAUUACUGGGCGUAAAGGGUGCGUAGGCGGUCGGAUAAGUUAGAGGUGAAAUCCCGAGGCUCAACUUCGGAAUUGCCUCUGAUACUGUUCGGCUAGAGAGUAGUUGCGGUAGGCGGAAUGUAUGGUGUAGCGGUGAAAUGCUUAGAGAUCAUACAGAACACCGAUUGCGAAGGCAGCUUACAAAGCUACUUCUGACGUUGAGGCACGAAAGCGUGGGGAGCAAACAGG
rnacentral:rRNA from 1 species